AGUAAUAAGCACACAUUAACAGUGUUAAAAGGAGUAUGCCAGUUGCUACUAGAAAAUAUCCAGGUGUUGCCUGUGCUUAGGUUACCUAGGAAAAUAGGUGUCUUACGUUUUCCUAUCACACAGUGGCAAACAUUUCUCCUUCAUCCACCUGCUGAAUUGUUCAUAUAUCUUGCAUUCAUCUGCACCCCAUCUCCAAAAGGAGUCGAGGAAGCAACUCAUGAAACUUGAGCAAGUUCACUUCCCAGGGCUUUUGCAAGUAUCUGCUUGAAUUAAUGUUGGUAAACAAAAUAACCAAAUGUAGUUUUGAAACAAACACUUGCAGUAAUAACUUCAAAGAUCCAGCUAGAUCAUAGCUUCCCAGUCAGUAUAGCUUAGAUUUCUCCUGAAAACAAAACUGUGUACAUGAUGAAAAACAAGAAAACCCUUCUCACAGAAAUGAACCAACAGGAUAACUGAUAAAGACCCUUCACAGGCAUCUCUCCGCAAUAAGGGUGUGGCUUCUCCCCUGUCCUGUCUGAAGGUUUGUUUCCCCAGAAUUCUGAGAGCCUCCACCCGUCUCUCCAGAAGUCUCUCAUCCCUGGGCUGGAAUCCUGAACCCCUGGCCUCAGCUACAAGGUAACAAUGGAAUAUAUGUUUAGCAUGAAAGUUCUCUACAAAAAGUUAUUUCAGAUUUAAAAGUCCAAAUCUUCAAACGUAUGCUUACCUUAAUUGUGACUCAAAACCAAUACUCUUUUGAUGACUUAAAGCCAAUAACUCUUUCUUGGCUUAACUAUGGAUGCAAGAGAUGCCCCCCAAGAGGGUGCAAAAGGUGCAGUCCUCCCAAGAUCCAGAAAGUUUACUCCCAGAAUUAGUCUAAGAAAGCAAGGACCCUUUUUGCUAUAGACAGUAAGAAUAGUGUUUGUGAAAACAGAGUCUCUCCCACAGGAAUGUGAGAUGCCUCCAGCCACAGACCCACUAAUCUGUGGCAUCAGGUGGGCAAUACCAGGAUGAGGGGUUUCUAGCACUUUGAAGUUAAUGGAGAUUGACACAAGAAAGGGUCCUCAUGGCCUGGGAUCUCUUAUUAAGACGAGUUUCCCUGAGAGCUGGCACAGUUGGACAAACAGAAUGCUGCUGGUCAUUUUUUAUCUUGGGCUCCCAGCCUGAUUGGUGGCCACCUGAUAGAAGCCAACACUUGCUCCCCCUGGUGGGUGGAAGCCACCGAGAAUAUUCUCCCUGCUCACAAUGCCAAGUUCUCAGGAUGUAAAGAAUCUCAUCUUAUGGUUUUCCUCCUCAUGGCAAACAACACAAAAGACAGAGAAAAGGAAAUAAGGACUACUCCUGGGAGGCCAUGGAUCAUACCCAGGCCAAAUUCAUGAAUCACGAUUCAAAAAAACUCAUUCUUACAAAUAUUUUCUUUCCUGCCAAUCUGAACUUGGAAAGGAAGGGACAAGGAAAAUAUUUUGCCAUCCUUUCUCUACUGGGAACUGCAGACAGAGAAACGGGAGAGCUGACUUUGGUAAGAAUUCUCACCUUCUGCCCACACUUCUCAGCUCUGCCAGGAUGCUGUCCACAGGCUCUGGAGUGAGUGGGCUCCCAGCCUCUCGGGAUCCCAUCUUCAUCACCAGAAACUGUACAGGAGGCAACAUUUUGCCUCUACCCUCUUAGGGAAUGUGGCUGGGCCUGAAAAUUAAAUUCACAUAUGAAAGAUUAACAAGAGAAAAACAUAAAGACUUUUACAUGUACCUGGGAGCCCCUAUAGGAAAAUAAAGACCUAAAGAAGUGGCAUAACCUAAAUGCUCAUGUGGUAGGUUGAACAAAGAGUGACCAGUGUGGGAAAAUAAUUCAAUUAUGUAUGGAGGCAAAGGAAGGUCAGAACUAUUUUAACAAGGUGUGCCUGUACAGAAUUCUCUUGGCUAUUACUCCUGUCAAAGAAUAUUUUUUUCCUCCUGUUACAAAGAAAGCAUCUUUCACAUGGGAUUAUCAUCUCCUGUUCUUAGGAAGAAAAAUAGAUUUGAAUGUCCUUCUUGCAUCUGCCAUUUUCAAGUGCCUUUAGCUCAAAAUUAUCCUUAUGCCAAAGUGUUAUAUUUGAGGGUGGCAUAUUCUUCCAUCCCUCAGUACCUUUGAGCAAACAGGGCCUUGGUGUCUAGACCUCCCGGGUUCUGGCACUGGUAGCAGCCACAAUUGCCCACACCAGCUUCCCACAGUAACCUGUUCAGGAAUGAGGGAGGAAAAAUGUUUCUGUCCUAAGUGUGUUACUCUGUUGCUGAAUUCCCUGAAUAGCUGCACCCCACCUUACCCCAUAUUUUAUAGAGUUAGAUGAAGAGCUUUUUCAUCUUUUACUUGCCAUCAUCCUCUUCCUCUUCCUCUCCUCUCUAUAAGCAUGAGGUCAGGCUGUACUAAUUGGAACAAGGGAGACUCUACCGCACUGACAAUCAUGGGUACCAGCUCAGAGGCACUGAGAACCACCUCUCUCUAGGCUGCAAUGUGGAAAAUGCCUAACAUACCGUACUGGAGACUGCACAGUGGGAAGAAGGUCACCAGAACUAUCAACCCAAACAGGAUACAAAAUGGAGUGUACACUAUGAUUACAACACUGCUAAACUAUAUCUGCUGAUGGACUAACACUGGAAAUGAAUAAGCAAAAGUGAGAACAACUGUGUGAAGUGAUGUGUUGAAGAUUAUUCUCCAUGUUGACUUCUUUGAAGGCUCUACCAUUAUUUGUUUUAUUGACUUUCUAGAAGCAUUGUGCCUAGGAGAUUCCAAUUUUCUAAAAGCUUCAAGUACAAUUUGACAAAUAUUCACUGAAUACCUGCCAUGUAUGGGCACUGUGCUAGUUGCUAUGCAGGAAACAAAGAUGUGUAAGUGACCAUUCUAACAGGAAGAGAAAUGUGUACACAUUUUUUGAGGGCAGAAAGAACAGACUAGGAGAAGGGUCCACUGGUUUCUACCCUGGUAGCAUAUUAGAAUCAUCCAGACAACUUUUAAUAAAUGCUGAUGCCCAAGCCUGUGCCCAGAGAUGGGGGUUGCAUUGGUCUGGUGUCUGGCCUCAAAACUGACCAUUUUUAAAGCUCCAAUGUGAUUAUAAUGAGAAGUCAGGGUUGAGAAUCACCAAGUUAGACCUUCUGCUCUAACACUGAUUGAGCUGUUUGACAGAGAACUGACAGACUCUCAAAUUCAAUAUUUAAAACAAUCCUUUUACAAAUCAAUUAUUUAAUCAAAAAUUAUAGACUAGGCAUGGUGACUCAGUACUGAGCACCUGUAAUCCUAGCACCUGAGCAACUCUAAUCUUAGCACUUUGG